AGACCCGAAACCCGGUGAUCUAGCCAUGGGCAGGUUGAAGGUUGGGUAACACUAACUGGAGGACCGAACCGACUAAUGUUGAAAAAUUAGCGGAUGACCUGUGGCUGGGGGUGAAAGGCCAAUCAAACCGGGAGAUAGCUGGUUCUCCCCGAAAGCUAUUUAGGUAGCGCCUCGUGAAUUCAUCUCCGGGGGUAGAGCACUGUUUCGGCUAGGGGGCCAUCCCGGCUUACCAACCCGAUGCAAACUGCGAAUACCGGAGAAUGUUAUCACGGGAGACACACGGCGGGUGCUAACGUCCGUCGUGAAGAGGGAAACAACCCAGACCGCCAGCUAAGGUCCCAAAGUCAUGGUUAAGUGGGAAACGAUGUGGGAAGGCCCAGACAGCCAGGAUGUUGGCUUAGAAGCAGCCAUCAUUUAAAGAAAGCGUAAUAGCUCACUGGUCGAGUCGGCCUGCGCGGAAGAUGUAACGGGGCUAAACCAUGCACCGAAGCUGCGGCAGCGAACGUAUCACCCAAGACAACUUUACGGAGUUGACGAUUGACGGAGCGAAGCGACGUCAAAGCGUUCAUUAAAGUCGAGUUGGCUUAGGGAUACGUUCGUUGGGUAGGGGAGCGUUCUGUAAGCCUGUGAAGGUGUGUCGUGAGGCAUGCUGGAGGUAUCAGAAGUGCGAAUGCUGACAUAAGUAACGAUAAAGCGGGUGAAAAGCCCGCUCGCCGGAAGACCAAGGGUUCCUGUCCAACGUUAAUCGGGGCAGGGUGAGUCGACCCCUAAGGCGAGGCCGAAAGGCGUAGUCGAUGGGAAACGGGUUAAUAUUCCCGUACUUGGUGUUACUGCGAAGGGGGGACGGAGAAGGCUAUGUUGGCCGGGCGACGGUUGUCCCGGUUUAAGGGUGUAGGUGUGUGUUCCAGGUAAAUCCGGUUCACUUUAACACUGAGGCGUGACGACGAGGCACUACGGUGCUGAAGCAACAAAUGCCCUGCUUCCAGGAAAAGCCUCUAAGCAUCAGGUAACACGAAAUCGUACCCCAAACCGACACAGGUGGUCAGGUAGAGAAUACCAAGGCGCUUGAGAGAACUCGGGUGAAGGAACUAGGCAAAAUGGUGCCGUAACUUCGGGAGAAGGCACGCUGACACGUAGGUGAAGUGAUUUACUCAUGGAGCUGAAGUCAGUCGAAGAUACCAGCUGGCUGCAACUGUUUAUUAAAAACACAGCACUGUGCAAACACGAAAGUGGACGUAUACGGUGUGACGCCUGCCCGGUGCCGGAAGGUUAAUUGAU
rnacentral:rRNA from 1 species